rnacentral:rRNA from 1 species
GACGAACGCUGGCGGCGUGCUUAACACAUGCAAGUCGAACGGAAAGGCCCUGCUUUUGUGGGGUGCUCGAGUGGCGAACGGGUGAGUAACACGUGAGUAACCUGCCCUUGACUUUGGGAUAACUUCAGGAAACUGGGGCUAAUACCGGAUAGGAGCUCCUGCUGCAUGGUGGGGGUUGGAAAGUUUCGGCGGUUGGGGAUGGACUCGCGGCUUAUCAGCUUGUUGGUGGGGUAGUGGCUUACCAAGGCUUUGACGGGUAGCCGGCCUGAGAGGGUGACCGGCCACAUUGGGACUGAGAUACGGCCCAGACCCCUACGGGAGGCAGCAGUGGGGAAUAGUGCACAAUGGGCGGAAGCCUGAUGCAGCAACGCCGCGUGCGGGAUGACGGCCUUCGGGGUGUAAACCGCUUUCGCCUGUGACGAAGCGUGAGUGACGGGAAUGGGUAAAGAAGCACCGGCUAACUACG